UCGCGGGCGGCGCCGCGUUCCCGCCCUACCGGCUGGGCUUCGGCGGCGCGGCCGCGGGGCUGGAGCGCGGCGCCUACGAGCCCUUCGACGUGGCGGGCAAGUUCGGCGGCGCGGCGCGCUUCUCGUACACCUCGCAGCACUCGGACUACGGGCAGCGCUUCCAGCAGCGCAUGCAGACGCACGUUUAGGGCGGGGAGGGCUCCGCGGGUACCUCACGAGCGUCCCCCUGAUAUUCAGGGGUUCGCCCCGAUUUCCCCCCCCGGCCUCUCCUCGGAGCUUCCGUUCGUCGCCCCGGUUCUCUCGCCGGUACGUUCCCGUCCCCGCGGGCGCGGGCAGGGGUCGGCGCCGCGCUCCUCGUGCCCCUUGCGGCCCCGGCGCCGUUCCCGGAGCUUUCCCAGGGAGCAGCUCUGUGCCAGAUCCAGAGGGGCGCGUGAACCCCAAAACCAGCCCCAACCCAAACCGUUCCCACUGGGAUCCGUGUGUUCCCAGAUCCAGAGGGGCGCGUGAGCCCCAAAACCAGCCCAACCCGAACCACUCCCACUGGGAUCCGUGUGUUCCCAGAUCCAGAGGGGCACGUGAACCCCAAAACCAGCCCAACCCAAACCAUUCCCACUGGGAUCCGUGUGUUCCCAAAUCCAGAGGGGCACGUGAACCCCAGAACCAGCCCAACCCGAACCAUUCCCGUUGGGAUCCGUGUGUUCCCAGAUCCAGAGGGGCACAUGAACCCCAAAACCAGCCCAACCCGAACCAUUCCCGUUGGGAUCCACGUGUUCCCAGAUCCACAGGGGAGACACAAAUCCCAAAAAAACCCAUCUCAAAUCAUUCCCAUUCCUCAAAGCAUUCCCACUGGGAUCAGCAUGCUCCCAAAUCCAGAGGGAUGUGCAAAUCCCAGAACCAGCCCCAUCCCAAACCAUUCCCAUUGGGAUCCGUGUGUUCCCAAAUCCAGAGGGAUGUGCAAAUCCCAGAACCAGCCCCAUCCCAAACCAUUCCCGUUGGGAUCCACGCGUUCCCAAAUCCCGAGGGAUGCUCCAAUCCCAGAUCCAGCCGCCUCCCGCACCAUUCCCAUUGGGAUCCGUGUGUUCCCAGAUCCACAGGGGAGACACAAAUCCCAAAAAAUCCCAACCCGAACCAUUCCCAUUGGGACCCGUGCAUUCCCAAAUCCCGAGGGAUGCGCCAAUCCCAGAACCAGCCGCAUCCCGAACCAUUCCCAUUGGGAUCCGUGUGUUCCCAAAUCCAGAGGGGCACACCAAUCCCCAAAAAACCCAUCCCGCACCAUUCCCAUUCCCUGUGCCUUGAUUUUGGGGCCGCCCCUGGCUCAGGGCCGGCUCCCCCCGUUUCCCCUCGGCGCCGGGAAUUUGGGGUUUUCGGGAGCCGCCCCGCACGCACAGCGAUCCCCCGGGAGAGGCAGCGCGGGAUCCCAGAGCUGGGAUCGGGGUCCCCCCUGAACCCCCGCGUUCCCGGGAAUUCCGGGAAUUCCGACCGAAACUUUGGGAUCGGGAGCUCGGCCCUGCCCCGAAUCCCAGUUCCGGGCACCGGGGGGAACCGGGGACCCCAGCGUGGCGUGGGGGAAUUUGGGGGAUGAGUUUUGGAGGGAAUUCCCAGCCCCAAUUCCCAAAUUCCCAAAGGGGUCCCAGUUUGGGAUGGGGGAAUUUUUGGGGGAUGAAUUUUUGGGGGAAUUCCCAGAGGAUUCCCAGCCCCAAUUCGGCAUGGGGGAAUCUGGGGAGGAACAAUUUUGGGGGGAUGAAUUUUGGAGGGAAUUCCCAGCCCCAAUUCCCAAAUUCCUGAAGGGGUCCCAAUUCGGGAUGGGGGAAUUUGGGGAGGAUGAGUUUUGGGGGGAUGAAUUCCUGGCUGAUUCCCAAAAACCCCUCAAGGAUUUGGUACGAGACCCCUGCCCACCCCUCCGGGGGCUGCCUCGGGAUCAGGAUCUUCCCCAAAAUCCCCCAAAUCCCCAAAUUCCCGAAUUCCCAGUGGCCAAUCCCGGUACGAGCCGUGGGAUCUCAUUUCCCUCUGCCGAAACUCCCCAAAACCAACACAGAAGGUCCCGAAAGGCCCAAAGGUGCCUGAAUUCACCCCAAAAGCCCCGAGGGGGGAGGGAAUUCCCGCUCCAGGUGCUGCACCCCAAAUUCCAGAGCAAUAUCCCGCGGGAAAAGGGGGAGCCCCGCCCGGCCACGGGAAGCUUUAACAUUCCAACCCCACUUUGGGGCUGGAAAAUGGAAUUUCCCCCUUUUGUUUUUUAGCACAGGUUGGUUUAGAGACCCUCCCCCGUCCCUUUCCCCCCAAAAUUCCGCCAUUUCUCCCCGAU
ensembl:lncRNA